GGGAACCUCACCCGGCCCGGACACCGCGAGGAUUGACAGACUGAGAGCUCUUUCUCGAUUCGGUGGGUGGUGGUGCAUGGCCGUUCUUAGUUGGUGGAGCGAUCUGUCUGGUUAAUUCCGAUAACGAACGAGACCCCAACCUGCUAACUAGCCCUCGGGUCCGGCUUCUGGCGGGCCCGACGGAAUGAUUCGCUUCUUAGAGGGACUCGCGGCGCCUAGCCGCACGAAGGGGGGCGAUAA
rnacentral:rRNA from 1 species